rnacentral:rRNA from 1 species
CAGUAGCCACGGGAAUACAGAGGGUGCGAGCGUUAAUCGGAUUUACUGGGCGUAAAGCGUGCGUAGGCGGCUUUUUAAGUCGGAUGUGAAAUCCAUGAGCUUAACUUAGGAAUUGCAUUCGAUACUGGGAAGCUAGAGUAUGGGAGAGGAUGGUAGAAUUCCAGGUGUAGCGGUGAAAUGCGUAGAGAUCUGGAGGAAUACCGAUGGCGAAGGCAGCCAUCUGGCCUAAUACUGACGCUGAGGUACGAAAGCAUGGGGAGCAAACAGGAUUAGAUACCCGGGUAGUCCCUGUCUCUUAUAC